rnacentral:snRNA from 1 species
GUGCUUGCUUUGGCAGCACAUAUACUAAAAUGGGAACCAUAUAGAGAAGAUUAGUAUGGUCCCUGUACAAGGAUGAGACCUAAAUUCAUGAAGCAUUUCAUAUUUUU